rnacentral:lncRNA from 1 species
AAAUUACUAAUACUUAUAUUGUUAAACUAACUCUAUGUUUUCUAGCUGAUAAUGUUAUCCUUAAUAAACUAACAAUAUAUGUUUAAUUUUAUGGGGGCCUCCCAAAUGAUAAGCAAUAAAUAUUGAUGCAAAAUGUGUAUAAAUACACACACAAAUCGGCCACACCUCUUGAACACUCAUCAUCACUUUGGUCGGCCGCUUUCUUCCUUCCUUCCUCCUCAAAUAAUCUACACAUAUAUAACAUCCCUCUUAGUUUCUCUGUGGAUCCAUUGAGACAUAUAUCAUAAGUAACAAUGGUGCCAUACCAAGAACUCACUCUUCAGAGAAGCUUCAGCUACAACUCAAGAAAGAUCAAUCCAGUGACUUCUCCGGCGCGUAGCUCACACGUUCGUUCUCCUUCUUCCUCCGCCUUAAUCCCAAGCAUACCUGA